CUGACAUCAUCAAUGCGUCCAUGUUUUCCCGAGGUACGCACUUUCCUCAGCCUUCGCGGCACCGCGGCGCAAAACUAAAAGUGCCACAUGCUUGCUUGGAAUAAAACGGUUUUCUAAUCAGCGCUGGUGACAAGAAUGGCGUGGUCGAAACCAACAGCCCUAGGCAUCUUCCGCGGAUCCAUGUGGACGAUGCACGCACCCACCACAGCGAGCGGAGCGUGGUAGCUGAGUGUGGAGCCAAACGGAUUUAUUCGCCCCGCAAAGCUCAAGAAUGAGAAAUAAAGAAAACGAGCGAUAUUCACGAGCCGCGGGGGCCUGGCGUGAAGGCAUUUUUCAUCUUUCGCCAGAAGUUAUACACGCGAGGAGAGUAGUGCACUAGCCUGGAACCGGCGCAAAGGAGGUGGCUACACGAGUGGUGGCAAGUCGGACAGAGAGCAAUGCGAGAGUUUCGGGACACGUGGUCCACCAACCUGCCAGGGCACGCC